GUGCUCGCUUCGGCAGCACAUGUACUAACAUUGGAAUGAUACAGAGAAGAUUAGCAUGGCCCCUGUGCAAGGAUGGCAGGCAAAUUGGUGAAGUGUUCCAUGUUUUU
ensembl:snRNA LOC120101166 U6 spliceosomal RNA